rnacentral:rRNA from 1 species
UACGUAGGGUGCGAGCGUUGUCCGGAAUUAUUGGGCGUAAAGGGCUCGUAGGCGGUUUGUCGCGUGUGGCGUGAAAGUCCGGGGCUCAACUCCGGAUCUGCGGUGGGUACGGGCAGACUAGAGUGAUGUAGGGGAGACUGGAAUUCCUGGUGUAGCGGUGAAAUGCGCAGAUAUCAGGAGGAACACCGAUGGCGAAGGCAGGUCUCUGGGCAUUAACUGACGCUGAGGAGCGAAAGCAUGGGGAGCGAACAGG